ACCCACUCCUCACCGUAAA
rnacentral:snRNA from 1 species